GUCACUGAAGUUGCUCAGUUGGGAGAGCGUUAGACUAUAGAUCGAAAAGUCCCUGGUUCCAUCCCAGGUUCCGACA
rnacentral:tRNA from 1 species